rnacentral:rRNA from 1 species
UCGAGAAUUUUUCUCAAUGGGCGAAAGCCUGAAGGAGCGACGCCGCGUGGGGGAUGAAUGGCUUCGGCCCGUAAACCCCUGUCAUUCGGGAUCAAACGUUGUCAGUAAACAACUGGCAGCCUGAUUGUACCGGAAGAGGAAGGGACGGCUAACUCUGUGCCAGCAGCCGCGGUAAUACAGAGGUCCCAAGCGUUGUUCGGAUUCACUGGGCGUAAAGGGUGCGUAGGCGGUAGGGUAAGUUUGAGGUGAAAGCUCCGGGCUCAACCCGGAAAUGGCCUUGAAUACUAUCCUGCUAGAGGAUCGGAGGGGAGACUGGAAUUCUCGGUGUAGCAGUGAAAUGCGUAGAUCUCGAGAGGAACACCAGUGGCGAAGGCGAGUCUCUGGACGAUACCUGACGCUGAGGCACGAAAGCCAGGGGAGCAAACGGG